GGGUUAGUAGGUUGGUCAUGCCUCUGGUAUGUACUGGUCUCACUGAUUCCUCCUUCCUGAUGAACCUUAAUGCCAUUAAUUUGGUGUUUUGGGGAAUUUGGACUGUUACUUUGAGAAAAUUAGAGUGUUUAAAGCAGGCCUAUGCCUGAAUACGUUAGCAUGGAAUAAUGAAAUAGGACGUUUAAUUCUAUUUUGUUGGUUUCUAGGAUUGACGUA
rnacentral:rRNA from 1 species